UUUAGAUGUUUUUCAGUUUCAUCGGAAGACAUUUCCCACCAACCAUCCUGUCUUGAAAGAAAUAACUUUUGAACCCGAUUAUCUGAUAUUUUCCAGUUUCCCCUCACAACAAUUUGCAUCAAACCUCUUGUCUGCUCCUCAGCUGAAAUCAUCAUCUAGCAGUCACAAUAGUUGAGCGGUUGGAGAGGCAUGCAUUGCGUCCUACUACUGCUCAGACUAUAUCAUGUUUGGCAGACAAAACAUGCUGAUCAAAAAGAAUGUGUACCACAGGGGCCAGUGUUUCCAUUUGAGUGAUUGACAAGAAGAAGAAGAGAUGAGAAAUGUUAUCAUCAUAUUUUAGUCCCUACAUUUAUAGUGUACAGCUCAAUGUAUUGAACCGGUGUUGUAGAAUAUAAUUGGAGAUACAUGCGAACAUUAUAACAUUAUAUAUAAGAUGAUAUUUCAAAAGCAAUACGAAAUAAAAAGUAUAAAAAGGUCAAA